rnacentral:ncRNA from 1 species
CUUAACUGACGCUGAUGGACGAAAGCGUGGGGAGCGAACAGGAUUAGAUACCCUGGUAGUCCACGCCGUAAACGAUGCUAACUCGUUUUUGGGCUUUCGGGUUCAGAGACUAAGCGAAAGUGAUAAGUUAGCCACCUGGGGAGUACGUUCGCAAGAAUGAAACUCAAAGGAAUUGACGGGGGCCCGCACAAGCGGUGGAUUAUGUGGUUUAAUUCGAUGAUACGCGAGGAACCUUACCAAGGCUUAAAUGGGAAUUGACAGACGCAGAAAUGUGUUUUUCUUCGGACAAUUUUCAAGGUGCUGCAUGGUUGUCGUCAGCUCGUGCCGUGAGGUGUUAGGUUAAGUCCUGCAACGAGCGCAACCCCUGUCACUAGUUGCCAUCAUUCAGUUGGGGACUCUAGUGAGACUGCCUACGCAAGUAGAGAGGAAGGUGGGGAUGACGUCAAAUCAUCACGGCCCUUACGCCUUGGGCCACACACGUAAUACAAUGGCAGGUACAGAGGGCAGCUACUAUGCGAAUAGAUGCGAAUCUCGAAAGCCUGUCUCAGUUCGGAUUGGAGUCUGCAACUCGACUCUAUGAAGCUGGAAUCGCUAGUAAUCGCGCAUCAGCCAUGGCGCGGUGAAUACGUUCCCGGGCCUUGUACACACCGCCCGUCAAGCCAUGGAAGUUUGGGGUACCUGAAGUCGGUGACCGUAACAGGAGCUGCCUAGGGUAAAACAAGUAACUAGGGCUAAGUCGUAACAAGGUAGCCGUACCGGAAGGUGCGGCUGGAACAUCUCAUUU